CCCUACGGGGCGCAGCGCAUAUCCUGGUGGAUCAUGAUUUCCAUUCCAUUACCCGCGAAGACCUCAAUGGCGGUAUUGAGUGCCGGCUCGGAAAGGGCAUGGGUAUCCAUACCGAUAAACAAAGGCCCGGUAAUACCAACCAUUUUACGGUAUUCGAAGAUAGCCUGACUUAUCGCCAUGACGUGAUCUUCAUUAAAACUGCCUAAAAAGGAAGACCCGCGGUGGCCGGAAGUGCCGAAAACCACUGUUUGGGCAGGGUUGCGUGAAUCUGGAUGUAUGGUGUAAUAGGCUGAAAUGAGGCGAGGAAUGUUCACCAGGACUUCAUAAGGAGCAGGUUUUCCUGCCAGUGGAUGAAUUGGCGGGAGAGC
rnacentral:rRNA from 1 species